UACGUAGGGGGCUAGCGUUGUCCGGAAUCAUUGGGCGUAAAGCGCGUGUAGGCGGUCCGGUAAGUCCGCUGUGAAAGUCGGGGGCUCAACCCUCGAAUGCCGGUGGAUACUGUCGGGCUAGAGUGCGGAAGAGGCGAGUGGUAUUCCUGGUGUAGCGGUGAAAUGCGCAGAUAUCAGGAGGAACACCUAUUGCGAAGGCAGCUCGCUGGGACGUAACUGACGCUGAGGCGCGAAAGCUAGGGUAGCAAACGGG
rnacentral:rRNA from 1 species